rnacentral:rRNA from 1 species
UUCGCAAUGCCCGAAAGGGUGACGAAGCGACGCCGCGUGGGUGAGGAAGGCCUUCGGGUUGUAAAGCCCCGUCAGGAGUUAAGAAAUGUAGACUCGCUAAUAUCGGGUCUAUUUGACAAAGGCUCCAAAGGAAGCCACGGCUAACUCUGUGCUAGCAGCCGCGGUAAUACAGAGGUGGCAAGCGUUGUUCGGUAUUAUUGGGCGUAAAGAGCACGUAGGUGGUUUUGUAAGUCAGAUGUGAAAGCCUUCUGUUCAAAGGAAGAACGGCAUCUGAAACUGCAUAUCUUGAGUGUAGGAGGGGAGAGUGGAACUUCUGGUGGAGCGGUGAAAUGCGUAGAUAUCAGAAGGAACGUCGGCGGCGAAAGCGACUCUCUGGCCUAUUACUGACACUGAGUGUGCGAAAGUUAGGGGAGCAAACGGGAUUAGAUACCCCAGUAGUCCUAACUGUAAACGAUGGGCACUAAGUAGAGGGGUUA